rnacentral:rRNA from 1 species
AGCGAACGCUGGCGGCAGGCCUAACACAUGCAAGUCGAACGGAUCCUUCGGGAUUAGUGGCGGACGGGUGAGUAACACGUGGGAACGUGCCCUUUGGUUCGGAACAACUCAGGGAAACUUGAGCUAAUACCGGAUGUGCCCUUCGGGGGAAAGAUUUAUCGCCAUUGGAGCGGCCCGCGUCUGAUUAGCUAGUUGGUGAGGUAAAGGCUCACCAAGGCGACGAUCAGUAGCUGGUCUGAGAGGAUGAUCAGCCACAUUGGGACUGAGACACGGCCCAAACUCCUACGGGAGGCAGCAGUGGGGAAUCUUGCGCAAUGGGCGAAAGCCUGACGCAGCCAUGCCGCGUGAAUGAUGAAGGUCUUAGGAUUGUAAAAUUCUUUCACCGGGGACGAUAAUGACGGUACCCGGAGAAGAAGCCCCGGCUAACUUCGUGC